GAGUUUGAUCCUGGCUCAGAUUGAACGCUGGCGGCAGGCCUAACACAUGCAAGUCGAGCGGCAGCGACAACAUUGACCCUUCGGGYGAUUUGUUGGGCGGCGAGCGGCGGACGGGUGAGUAAUGCCUGGGAACAUGCCUUAGUGUGGGGGAUAACCAUUGGAAACGAUGGCUAAUACCGCAUAAUCUCCUGUCUUUUACGAGRUGGGAGCAAAGAGGGGGACCUUCGGGCCUCUCGCGCUAAGAUUGGCCCAGGUGGGAUUAGCUAGUAGGUGGGGUAACGGCUCACCUAGGCGACGAUCCCUAGCUGGUCUGAGAGGAUGAUCAGCCACACUGGAACUGAGACACGGUCCAGACUCCUACGGGAGGCAGCAGUGGGGAAUAUUGCACAAUGGGGGAAACCCUGAUGCAGCCAUGCCGCGUGUGUGAAGAAGGCCUUCGGGUUGUAAAGCACUUUCAGUCGUGAGGAAGGCGGUAUCGUUAACAGCGGUAUCGUUUGACGUUAGCGACAGAAGAAGCACCGGCUAACUCCGUGCCAGCAGCCGCGGUAAUAC
rnacentral:rRNA from 1 species